GAUGAACGCUAGCUACAGGCUUAACACAUGCAAGUCGAGGGGAAACGAUAUUGGAAGCUUGCUUCCGAUAGGCGUCGACCGGCGCACGGGUGAGUAACGCGUAUCCAACCUGCCCCAUCACUUGGGGAUAACCUUGCGAAAGUAAGACUAAUACCCAAUGAUAUCUCUAGAAGACAUCUGAAAGAGAUUAAAGAUUUAUCGGUGAUGGAUGGGGAUGCGUCUGAUUAGCUUGUUUGGCGGGGUAACGGCCCACCAAGGCGACGAUCAGUAGGGUUCUGAGAGGAAGGUCCCCCACAUUUGGAACUGAGACACGGUCCAAACUCCUACGGGAGGCAGCAGUGAGGAAUAUUGGUCAAUGGGCGAGAGCCUGAACCAGCCAAGUAGCGUGCAGGAUGACGGCCCUAUGGUUGUAACUGCUUUAUAAGGGAAUAAAGU
rnacentral:rRNA from 1 species